GAUGGAUGGCGCUUAAGUCAGUUCUUCAUUCUCAUGAUUGGGCGCUAUUCACUAUUGGAUGGAAUUUUCUCGAUCGCUUACUGAACACAUUAUUAUUAGACACCGACCUGUGUAGCGCUCGUUUUAUAAAUAUACAUUGUCUCUUGCA